rnacentral:rRNA from 1 species
AUUGAACGCUGGCGGCAUGCCUUACACAUGCAAGUCGAACGGUAACGGGCCUUCGGGUGCCGACGAGUGGCGCACGGGUGAGUAAUACAUCGGAACGUGCCCGAUCGUGGGGGAUAACGAGGCGAAAGCUUUGCUAAUACCGCAUACGAUCUACGGAUGAAAGCAGGGGACCGCAAGGCCUUGCGCGGACGGAGCGGCCGAUGGCAGAUUAGGUAGUUGGUGGGAUAAAAGCUUACCAAGCCGACGAUCUGUAGCUGGUCUGAGAGGAUGAUCAGCCACACUGGGACUGAGAACCGGCCCAGACCCCUAGGGGAGGCCGGGGGGGGGAAUUUUGGACAAGGGGCGCAAGCCUGACCCAGCCAUGCCGCGGGCAGGAAGAAGGCCUUCGGGUUUUAAACUGCUUUUGUACGGAACAAAAAGCCUUCUUUUAAAACAGGGGGGUCAUGACGGUACCGAAAGAAUAAGCACCGGCUAACUACGU